AAGUGCCCAGAGUGAAGGCCCCAGCUGAUGCCCUGACCAGGUGCAGGGUCAUGAACUGAGCUUGCUGGGGACAGAGAGCAGGCAAGGGGGCCAGAACCAGUCAGGUCAAGUCCUCACCAAGGAGGACGAGACCACCUGUGGGCCAGGACGGUUGACUCAGGGUCCAGGAGCCAGGAGCGUGGACCAGAGCCCACAGCAGUGCCGAGAGGAGCUGGGGUGCAGGGUCUUGCAUCUGCAGAGGCAGCAGGGACCAGCCCUGCUCACAACCAGCCCAGCCCUGGGAGAACAGAAGGCUCCUGGGCUGUGCCCCCUUGGCUGAGGCACCAUGGUCAGACUCUGCCAGGCCCUGCUGCUCCUGGUGGCCACUGCAGCCCUUGUGUCCAGAAACAUCCAAGUCUGGGGCUCCGUGAUGGUGACGAGGCCAUUCCAAGACAUCUCUGAGACCUAUGUCUACGUGCAGCAGGCGCUCUGGCAUGCCAUGAAAGAGUAUAACAAGGCCAGCGACGACAAUUACAACUUUAGGGUGGUGAAAAUUCUGAAAGCCCAGGAGCAGGUGACAGAUAGUUUGGAGUACUAUAUUGAAGCCCAGAUUGCUCGAACAAUGUGCAAGAAAUCUUCAGGAGAUGUUGAAAACUGCUUAUUUCAAAAGAGUCUGCAAAUGCAAAAGACAUAUAUUUGCAUCUUUAUGGUUAGAUCCAAACCAUGGAAAUUUGAACUCACUCUCCUAAAGAAACAGUGCAGAGAUUACUAGUUAUCUCCUACCAUACUCUGCUACACUCGCUUCCAUGUUAAAGAAGAAGCAAAGACACUCGCAAGACAUUCGAACAACACAGCUGACCAUGGCCUCCUUUUUGUGGCCUUUUUGCUUUUGUGUGUUCUUCAAGGACUGAAGCUGAGGACGUGUGGUGUGUUUUGACAGUGCUGGGCAGACUCUUUUAGCUGGCAGCUUCACCCACUAGCAGGGACAAUCUGCCAAUAAAUGGAAGCAGUGUCUACACCUCA